GACGAACGCUGGCGGCGUGCUUAACACAUGCAAGUCGAACGAUGAACUUGGAGCUUGCUCUGGGGGAUUAGUGGCGAACGGGUGAGUAACACGUGAGUAACCUGCCCUGGACUCUGGGAUAACUUCGAGAAAUCGGAGCUAAUACCGGAUAGGACCUUGCACCGCAUGGUGUGGGGUGGAAAGUUUUUCGGUUUGGGAUGGACUCGCGGCCUACCAGCUUGUUGGUGAGGUAAUGGCUCACCAAGGCGUCGACGGGUAGCCGGCCGGAGAGGGUGACCGGCCACACUGGGACUGAGACACGGCCCAGACUCCUACGGGAGGCAGCAGUGGGGAAUAUUGCACAAUGGGCGCAAGCCUGAUGCAGCAACGCCGCGUGCGGGAUGACGGCCUUCGGGUUGUAAACCGCUUUUAGUAGGGAAGAAGCCUUCGGGUGACGGUACCUGCAGAAAAAGGACCGGCUAACUACGUGCCAGCCGCCGCGGUAAGAC
rnacentral:rRNA from 1 species